AAAAACCACGGACACCUAUUUGCCAACAAGGUCUUAUAUCCACCGUUGAUCUUUGUAUUUUUUCAUCGAUAUCACCGACUUAUUUGAUAAUUUUUUUCAAUAAAUAUGGGUUCCUUCAGCAACUUCUUUCGUCUCUCAUCUUCUUCCUUCUCUUGGUUUUAGUUUUGUGUUUCUUUCUCAGAUCUGUUUCGACGUUCUUCUCCGUUGCGAUUUUCUUCAACAGAGUUUUAUUUAUAUUUAGGCGAUCUAUCUGUUCAUAUUGGUUUUUCUUUCUUAAACUAUUUUUAUUCUGUUUUAUUCCUAAUGUUUUCUUUUGGAUCUGGUUUUUUAAUUGAUGUUUUCUGAAUCAAUUUUUUCAUCUGCAGAGGGUUUUUUUAUAGAUCUAGAACACAAAUCUCGUUAUCAACCUUUCAUCUUUAUCGCAUUCGUUGGGUUUGGAUGUUUCAAACUAUUAAACUUUUAUUUCAUUAUAUUAGUUACACUCCAGAUCUGGUUUUAAUUAGAAACCUCAAUUCUUGGUCAGAUUUACAGCGUUGUCGGUGAUUUGGAAUAUCAAGAUUUUGGAACGGGGGGUUUUGAGUUUGAUGUUUUCGAUUUAUUUUCUUAUGAAGUUUAUUUAGCUUUUACGUCAGAUCUGGUUUUAAUUGAUAAACUCGAUUCUUGGUCAGAUUUAGAGGCGUUCGUUGCUUUGGAUAUCAAAGAUUUUGGAUCAGGGGGUUUUGAGUUUCAUGAUUCUGAUUCACUUGACUUUUAUUUUCUUAUGAAGUUGCUUGUCCGGUUUUGAUUGAAAACCCCAAUUCUUGGUCAGGUUUAGGGAUGCUGUUGGUUUGCAUAUGAAGAAUUUGGAUCUUGGGGUUCACGGGUUCAUGAGUUUGAUGUUUCACAUACCCUUUUGUUGAGUUUAUCAUUUUCUAGUAUAUUACAGUCAGAUCUGGUAUUGAUUUGUAGCUUCAAUUCUUGGUCAGAUUUUGAGAUUCUUGGUUUGGUUUAGAGCGGCAAUGAUUGGAUAUUAAGAAUUGUGAUCAGAAGGGGUUCAGGAGUUUGUUUAAUCAGAUUUAUUUAAUUAUAUCAUUUAAGUUUCUAGUCUAAUAUGGUCAGAUCUGGUAUUGAUUCGAAGCUUCAAUUCUUGGUCAGAUUUAGAAGCGAGAGCAGUUGAUGAUUCGGUAGUGAGAGUUUGGAUCCUGUUUUCAGCCCGAGUCUUUGGUUAAGGAGAUGUUUAAUCAAAUUCUCUUGUUUUAUUAUAUCCUUAUGUUUUUGGUUUAUUGCGGUCAAAUCUGGUUUUGAUAGAAAGCCUCAAUUCUUGGUCAGAUUAAGAGCGCUGUUGGUGGUUCUCUCUGGUUAGGCGUGGUACACAGAAGCAGCUGCUUAUCCGGUGAAUUGGUCACAACUUUUGUAUGUGUGUUUUUGUAUUGGUUUAUGUUUGUUUUCUUUGCAGGUUUCUUUGUUUUGAUCUUUAGGUUGAGAUGAAGGAUUAUUACUGAAGAUAUGUUGUGUGAUUUGUGGUGGAGCUGAUUACUCCUUGGAUCAGCUGAUGGAGGAAAGCUGUGUGCCCUAAACUAUUUGGUGAGAUUUUAAAUGGAUCUAGGCUGUAGACAGUGUUACUGUGAUCAAUAUGUUGGUAGUGCUAGCAUUAAGGAUGUAGUAUGGUGUAGAAGAGAUCAAUACAGAUCCCUUAAUGUUAAGGGGAUGUAUUGAACACUCUUUGUCAUCUGACCUUUGCCAUGUCGGGUGCGCUUGCUUGGCAGGUCAAAAACCUUAAUAAAAAGAUCAUAUUUUUUGGUUGGGGGGAGAUCGCACGGGGAUUUUGCCCGGGAUCUUCCCCAGGUGUGUGUGUGUUGUGCCUUUCUGCCUUUUAUUCCAAUCAUCAAAUACCUACAUGCAACUGCAAUUGCACUUGGAUUGAAGAAGGUAACACUACCACACAUAAAGCACCGUAUUCAAAGCUCUAUUCUUAGAUAAUUUGGUGAUGUUCUCAGCCGGCCCCAAUUGGUCAAUUUGGAUGCAUAUCUCCAACAUGCAAGGUACACAUUUAACUUUCAGUUUCUAUAUUGACACAUGCUUUACAUAAUUUAUUAUCCUGCACUAUACACAUGAUAACACUCCAUGAACAUGAGUUUAGGCCAACCCAUAAGUAGUUCACAAUCUUUGAACCAGAUAAUAUUCACAUAGUAUUGCUGAUUCUGAUUGUAGAGGAUAUUCAUGACAAAGCUCAGGAUUUUCAGUUUAGUUAUGUUUUGGUGUUUUCAACUAGUGAAACUAUCUCAUUGUUUAUUUUUGAAAAUCAUAUUUUGAAAAGUAUGUUAAUAAUUUGAUGAUAUUUCCAUGGUAUAUUUUAUGAAAUUCGAUCGGAUACGAAACAAAAAAAUCUACAUAAUUUUGCUAGUGUUAAACCAGUUUUUGAAAAUGCCAAUACUUUUUAAUACUAUAAGCUGCACGUAUAUUUAGCUUUUCACACCUCAAAACGGAGUAUUUUAAAAAAUAUUCAUCAUCAUGUCUACUUCAAUAAAUCUAUGAUUUUUAUAGAAAGUAAAUGUUUCUUUGUUUACUUGGAUGGAAAAGCCCACCUUUGAACAAGAGUCUUGCUUUAAAAUAUCAAUGAUAUAUUGAUGAUAUAUUGCUCUUAGCUGUCACAUUGCCAUGUGAUUCGAAGUUAAUGGUUGUAUAUUGUCAAUAUUUUGUGAAUGGCGAAUACUUAAUGUUUGCUCAACAUUUUAGAACACUAUAUUUGAUUGUACUAAUUGAUUUAAAUUGGAAGUAUGGUUAUAUCACUUUUAGUAUGAGGAAUCGCAAAUAACAUUAAUUCAGGAGUAAGGUUCUGUUGGUACUUGAAAAGAGGUAACACCCUUCUAUCAUAUCACUGAAGGCAAAUAUUUUAGGAAAUGGUUUGUGCAUAAAAAGGUUGUAAUUAUUUGUUUGAAAGAUCUCCAAGGUUUGCACUCACUAACCUCCAUAGCCUGCAAUCUCUACACUCCAUAACCUGCAAUCAUUAGGAAAAUGCAGUAUCACAUUCUGUUGAGCUGUCAAGUACAUAACUCCAUUUGUUUCAAGUGUCAGUGCCACCAAUUUAAGUUCUUUUCAAGUUAUUUACAAUUUACUUGUCAUAUUUUGAAGUUUAAAGUUUAUUGUGAAAUUCGCACUAGAAUUUUUUUUUGCCAAAUAAUGGCUGUGCACACUUGGUUUAUGUUUCGAUUUGAGUGGGUUAUGUUCAAAAGAGUGUACAUGUUGUAAAUCAGUCAAAAGUGAGAUAUUGCAUUGUAAUACUUCCAAAAGUGUAACAUGUAGUUAUGGCGGAGUUGUGUUUUAGCACUUUUUGAGGGUCUCUGCUGGACUGGAUGUUCUUGAUAUCACAAAAACAAGUCUAAAGAGGUGCAAAUGUUAUAGUCCCUCUUGAUUAAAGGAGUUCAAAAAGGUUAUUUGGUUGGAAGAUGAGAUGCGGCAAAGGGAAGAAGGUUACUUGGUUUGAUGAUGAGAUGCGGCAAAGGAGCUGAAGCGAUGCCGAGAUAUCUGCUUUAUAAUCAGAGGUAAACAUAUUUUUACUAUAUCUUUGUAGUUUGUAGGGACAUCACUUAACGUUUGCUUGGCAGUGUCACUUAUUUUGUAUCACUGAGUCUGAUAUUUGCAGUCUGCUAUAUUUUUCUGCAGUUUUGGAUUGGUUUAAAGACGAGAUGCUUCAAAGGAGCUGAAAGGAUGCCAAUGUAAGCAUAGUUUUAGUAUAUCUUAAUUCUUAAUUCGGUUUCCAUAAUACCUUUUUGUAGCUUUUUCUCUGCGUAUCACGAUAUUAUUUUUUGUAGUUUGUAAGGACAACACUGAAUUUUUGCUUGUCAGUUUGGUUAUUUUGUAUCACUGAGUCCGACUUUUGCAAUCUGCUAGAUUUUUCUGCAGUUUUGGAUAUUCUCUUUCCUGGCGGAUGUUGUUAAGUGUUCCUUGGGUUGAAGUUCUCUGGUUAAUGAAGAGCUGAUAAUUUGUACAACAUUUAUAAAGGUAGAAGUUUGGUUUUGGCGGGUGCAACUCUACUGUGAAUAGAGUUUUCAGUGAAAGCUUCAUAAUAAGAAAUUGGUUGGAAGGUUUUUGCCACUUGUUGGAGGAAAGAACUGGAAAAUGAAAAUAAGUCUUUAAGAGGUACUUGUACAACCAUUGUCAACAAGCCAGCAUUGGUGAAAGGAGGUAUAAUGACAUUUCAUGUGUGGUCUUUGUACUUGAUUUACAAUUCUUCGGAAUUAUCGGCAUCACUAAAUUUGAAUUUCAGGCAGGUUUUGACUUCCGUGCUUUCUCUAUAUAGUACAGGGUUUAUACUGAAUUUUUGUUUCAUUUGAUUUGAUAUGAUAUGGUUCAAAUCUACGUAAUAUUUUUAGUGGAAUGAUGUAGAUGGUAAUAUUUUUGUUUUUGGCAUUGAAUACAGUUUUGCUUUUUAAAUUUGUUUUGUAUCUUGCCACCGUAUGAUCAACGUAUUUAAGCAUGGUUUGAUAUGGAGAUUGGUCUUAUGGCUUACAACUCGAUGAAUUACGAGUUAUUAUAUCUUGACAGAAUCCUGAGAAGCUAGCAAAUCCGAAAGGUAAUCUGAGGGGCACAAAAUAUCUGCUCUAGCUGUUUAAACAGCUUCUCAAAUCUGCUGGGUGGGAAUGUUUAUAGUCCGGCAAGACUUCUGUAAUUCUGUGUAAUGCUUGUUAAUGUAUGGAGGUAAAUGGGAAUAGUGUCAACUACUGAAAUUUAGUUUAUAGGUUAAUAUUUCAAUUUUGUUGAUUCUUGAGCUGUUAUUGUCUGUACCCAAAUUAAGACUUCCAUCUCAUUUGCUAUAUGGAUUUUCUUACCCUCCAAUCCCACAGUUUUGUUGAGCCUUUAGUUCUGUUGCAGUUCUUGUCUGUGCCUGCUAAAGUAAAACUUAUCUCUUAAUGCACUUUGGAAUUUCUUCUCAGUCAAUCCCACAUUUGAUGGGGUACGAAUGUAGGAUAAGUAUAAGUUGAAUCGCAUGCCAAAGGGGGGACAAAGGGUGGAAAUUUUUAACUUUGAAUUUUUAUAACAAGGUGAACUAUAAAAUUAUUAUUACUAGAAGUGGUGUUUUAUAGUGUGAAGGGAUUUAAUUGUUAAUUCAGUGUGAAUCUUUUUGAAGCUAUUUUUUUGGAAGUAGACCGAAAUUAUUUGUUGUAAAUCAGAGUAUAAUAUCCACUAGCCAACCUUAUUAUUAAAUUUAAUUGUUUGUCAAAUUUAAUUUUGAAACUGAUUAUAUUUUAUAAUUUGGACUGAUAGUUUUAAUGAUUUUUUAGUAGGUCCAUUAAUGUUAAUAUUAUCUGUGAAUUUUCUUUGGUG
rnacentral:lncRNA from 1 species